GUGGGUUUGUAGUGGAUUCAGUAGCUGGGUUUGUAGUGGAUUCAGUAGCUGGGUUUGUAGUGGAUUCAGUAGCUGGGUUUGUAGUGGAUUCAGUAGCUGGGUUUGUAGUGGAUUCAGUAGGUGGGUUUGUAGUGGAUUCAGUAGGUGGGAU